ACGACCAUACCUAUCAGAGAACUCGGGAUCCCGUCCGCUCUCCCAUAGAUAAGCUGGUAAGGGGCGGAUUAGUAGUUGGGUCGGUGACGAC
rnacentral:rRNA from 1 species